rnacentral:lncRNA from 1 species
CUUCCAGAUCGAGAAGCUCUUGAACAAACCUGGACUGAAAUAUAAACCAGUGACUAACCAGGUUGAGUGUCACCCAUACCUCACACAGGAGAAACUGAUCCAGUACUGCCACUCCAAGGGCAUCACCGUUACGGCCUACAGCCCCCUGGGCUCUCCGGAUAGACCUUGCCAGAAGACCCUUCCCUGCUGGAGGAUCCCAAGAUUAAGGAGAUUGCUGCAAAGCACAAAAAAACCGCAGCCCAGGUUCUGAUCCGUUUCCAUAUCCAGAGGAAUGUGAUUGUCAUCCCCAAGUCUGUGACACCAGCACGCAUUGUUGAGAACAUUCAGGUCUUUGACUUUAAAUUGAGUGAUGAGGAGAUGGCAACCAUACUCAGCUUCAACAGAAACUGGAGGGCCUGUAACGUGUUGCAAUCCUCUCAUUUGGAAGACUAUCCCUUCAAUGCAGAAUAUUGAGGUUGAAUCUCCUGGUGAGAUUAUACAGGAGAUUCUCUUUCUUCGCUGAAGUGUGACUACCUCCACUCAUGUCCCAUUUUAGCCAAGCUUAUUUAAGAUCACAGUGAACUUAGUCCUGUUAUAGACGAGAAUCGAGGUGCUGUUUUAGACAUUUAUUUCUGUAUGUUCAACUAGGAUCAGAAUAUCACAGAAAAGCAUGGCUUGAAUAAGGAAAUGACAAUUUUUUCCACUUAUCUGAUCAGAACAAAUGUUUAUUAAGCAUCAGAAACUCUGCCAACACUGAGGAUGUAAAGAUCAAUAAAAAAAAUAAUAAUCAU